UCUAGCUUCCCAAGUGGAUCUCCAGGAAUUCGGUGGUUGCUUUGAUGAAGUCUGCUCCCUGCAGUUUGGGAAGACAUCAUUAAUAGUACUAAAGAUCUAUAGGAAGAUGAUAUCCAUUGUCUUUAAUUAAACUGGGAAUUUCCACUUGCUGGCAAGAGCCAGUUUAAAUAGUCCUUGAUUCAUGACCACCAUCACGACUGGAAUUUCUGUUGCCAAGCAAAGCAGUUGUUAAGAAGAAUAUGCCGGGGAAGAAAUACAAGGCUCUCACUUUCCCAUUUUAUACAAGUUUAUUCAGAAAUAAUUACUACUGACCUCAAUGUAGCUGCUUCUCAAGCACAUAUAGAUAGGAUUGCAGCCAUAGUAAUUUUACUUAGAUAUCUUUAUUUCUCAAUGGUUCCUCUCUUAGCCUGCAGGCAUACUCCAAACCUCUCUUGUCUUUAAACAGAAUCAAUUACCAUACACCCAUUGAGGCAAACUUGAAGUGAUUUUCUUUUUUUAAAAAAAUGUGGUAGGGGGAGUGAGUUUAAUAAGUUAUUGAUACUCCCUCCAUUUCAAGAAAGCAAUAAAUUUAGAGCCCGUAAGUUCAUGAAUUGUACACAUCUGUACAGCUUCAGCAAAUAAAGAUUGUUACCAUAGCAACGGCCACAUCGUAUGGAACAUGCUUGUGAAAUUCAGAGCUUCAUAUUAAGGGAAUCCGUCUGCCUCCCCCA